GGGGGGGGGAGAAGAAAUCUCAUUAAGUUGGGGGGGAGGGAAUCGAGGGGGUUAAUGUCACAAAAUUGUAAUUUAUUAUUAUUAAAUGUUUGCUUUGUGUACCUAUUCUAUAUACCUAUAUACCCAGGGUCACGUAAAAAUUUCCUGGGCGAAAAAAUUUAAGAAGCCCUGGUGUAGAUGACAGCCAAGAUCACUUAUAAUUCAAGCAUUCUGUAAUUCCAGAUCUCAGUUACUUGGGCAACUUGGAAACUAACUUGGUUGCUAACGCUAGCCAAAGCAUCGGAGCAGAAGGGAACCCGGAAGUCAGAAGGCUGCGGUCUAACUUGCUGAGUGUUUCGUGGGCCUAAUUCCCUAAUAAUCACUAACGCCGAGUUCCGGGUUCUUCCCGGGUGACAGACAGCAGUCCUCCCUCAUUGGACCAGGAAUACCCGUUCUACAAGCUCGGAUUACGUGAGGCUAGGUUCAAGGAGCAGGACCUGGGCUUGGAACUACGUCUACAUACGCCCGCGAUCCAAAAGCCCUUUUAAAAGCUAACCAGAAAAACGGGAAGGAAAAUGAAGCAGAAGCAGUAGCAGCGGCGGCAGCAGGAGGUCACUGUUACCUGAGCUCUGUCUGCGCAGCCGCCCACAGGAGCCCUCCGCGAAGGGCCGGAUACCGGGAGAGGCGAGCCGCUCUCUAGUCAGAGGAGCCCUCAUUUCCCUUCCGCAUUAGCUCCAGAAAAACUGAAACUACCGCUGUUCAGGCCGGCCCAGCCCUAGGGAGGGAGGCACCUUUAAACCCAAACGAUUAGCAAAAAAAAUCUGCCAAUCGG